GCCGAGGUAGGAUGGCUCAGUCAGUAGAGCAUGGGACUCUUAAUCUCGGGAUCAUGGGUUUCAGCCGCAUCUUGGGCA